AAUGAACGUUGGCGGCGUGGAUUAGGCAUGCAAGUCGUGCGAGAAGUCUUUUGCUUGCAUUGGACGGACAGCGGCGAAAGGGAGAGUAACGCGUGGAUACCUACCUUCGGGUUCGGGAUAGCUGCGGGAAACUGCAGGUAAUACCGAAUAACAUCUCCGGAUCAAAGGUGUGAUUCCGCCUGGAGACGGAUCCGCGUCCUAUUAGCUUGUUGGUGGGGUAACGGCCUACCAAGGCUACGAUGGUACCGGGCGUGAGAGCGUGACCCGGCUCACUGGGACUGAGACACUGCCCAGACACCUACGGGUGGCUGCAGUCGAGAAUCUUCGGCAAUGGACGCAAGUCUGACCGAGCGACGCCGCGUGCGGGAUGAAGGCCUUCGGGUUGUAAACCGCUGUCAGUUGGGAGGAAAUCACAUGGGGUUCUCUCCAUGUGUUGACCUAUCCGCAGAGGAAGCGCAGGCUAAGUUCGUG
rnacentral:rRNA from 1 species